AUUGAACGCUGGCGGAAUGCUUUACACAUGCAAGUCGAACGGUAACAGGUCUUCGGAUGCUGACGAGUGGCGAACGGGUGAGUAAUAUAUCGGAACGUGCCCAGUCGUGGGGGAUAACGUAGCGAAAGUUACGCUAAUACCGCAUACGAUCUACGGAUGAAAGCGGGGGAUCGCAAGACCUCGCGCGAUUGGAGCGGCCGAUAUCAGAUUAGGUAGUUGGUGGGGGUAAAGGCUCACCAAGCCAACGAUCUGUAGCUGGUCUGAGAGGACGACCAGCCACACUGGAACUGAGACACGGUCCAGACUCCUACGGGAGGCAGCAGUGGGGAAUUUUUGGGACAAUGGGCGCAAGCCUGAUCCAGCAAUGCCGCGUGCAGGAUGAA
rnacentral:rRNA from 1 species